GACGAACGCUGGCGGCGUGCCUAACACAUGCAAGUCGAGCGGGGAACUGCGGAACGCGGCUUCGGCCAAGUGAAACAGUUUCUAGCGGCGGACGGGUGAGUAACGCGUGAGUAACCUGCCUAUCACUGGGGAAUAACGCAUCGAAAGGUGUGCUAAUACCGCAUGAGACCACAAGAUCGCAUGGUCAAGGGGUCAAAGAUUUAUCGGUGAUAGAUGGGCUCGCGUCUGAUUAGCUAGUUGGUGAGGUAACGGCCCACCAAGGCGACGAUCAGUAGCCGACCUGAGAGGGUGAUCGGCCACAUUGGAACUGAGAAACGUCAACACUACGGAGGCGAGCAGUGGGGAAGUAAUUGGGUCGAAUAGGGCGGC
rnacentral:rRNA from 1 species